CGAUUGCAAAAGAUUUUUGGACUAUAUUCCUGUGCGGAUAGAUUAAAAAACUACUCCAGACUGGUAGACAUGACAGAUGUUUAUUGGAAAUAUGAACAUGGACUUAAAACUUUGAUGUGUAGCAAAAAAAUUCAUCGUUGAUGAUAGUGAUUUUUCUAAGCUAUAUUGACUGGAACAGGGUUGUUCUUUACAAAUACAGAGCUGUCAAUGCUGCAAUUUUGUUGUGAAAGUCACAAUCCAUGUCAGAAGGUGCUUGUUUUACUAUACAGCAAAGACGAAGAAAUUGUACUGGGCCGACACCUAUAUGGGAAAUAGUUAAUUUUGAAUAUCUCAGCAACCAAAGGGUUUACAGUAAUGGAACUUCACACACUAGUAGCUGAUAACAAUAGAAACCAGUGGCUAAAAGGAUUUUAUCAAGCAUUCAAACAAGGUAUGUGCAGAGGCUGUGCCUAAAUAGGAACAAGAUCACAGUAACUUGCUCUUGGUUGACCACAAUAAGGAAGUGGUAACAUAGAAAAUAGUUCCUCUGUUUGAUGGUGAAUACAAAAAUGCAUUGGUGAAUUUGUGAGUGAAAGACCUGCAAUAAAUGAAUAGCAUAAUUUAAUAGAGGAGGUAUAGAAUAAUAGGUACAUGUACAAUUUGACAGAAUGUGAAUGUCAGAAUAUGCAUAACAUGACUUUUUGAUAAUGCCAGUUUGCCUGUUUGCGGCCAUCUAGAGAGUAUUCUUCAUACGCAUGUGAUUUGGUUCAAAACGGUUGAAAAAAGUGCCAUUCAAACCACAUGUUUAUUGUGGCUGGAAUUUUUUCUCUUGAACACUUCUGUUGAGUUCAGGUAUUUUAGGGGGUUGGAAUGCAUGCAAAAAUGCAUUAGUGUCCAUUGCCUAUAUAGAACAUACAGUAAAAAUAACUUGGGUCUUAGGCCUGAUUUAAUGGAAAAAUUCAGAAAGUAAAUUGUCAAUAUUUUUGUCAUUUUGCAAUCUACAUGGCUGUAAUUUUGAUGGAGAAUGGCUGGUUGGCAUAGAAAUCUGGAAAUUACUUGAAUUAAUUAUUACAAUUGCUGAAAUAGCUUCAGUUUGAGUAAAAACUAUACAUGCUUGAAAAAUGUGAAAAUCCUACUUUCAGUUUACAUAUUUUUGAAAAUUUUCUAAUUUUGCAGGUUUUCAUGCAUAAAAUGCAUUUGUAUAAGUUCUAUGUUUGAAACUGUUUGUGGAAAACAAAAUGGUGUAUUAAAAAUGCCGCCAUGGAUUUUUAGAAAUUUGAGCUGCGGCCGAGGAUAUCUGACCUAGAGUCGGAUAUUAUAUAUGAGCCGCGCCAUGACGAAACCAGCAUAGUGGAUUUGCGAUCAGCAUGGAUCCAGACCAGCCUGCGCAGUCUGGUCAGGAUCCAUGCUGUUCGCUUUUAAAGCCUACUGCAAUUAGAGAAACCAUUAGCGAACAGCAUGGAUUUUGACCAGACUGCGCGGAUGCGCAGGCUGGUCUGGAUCCAUGCUGGUCGCAAAGUCACUAUGUUGGUUUUCCAAUGGCACGGCUCAUAUAUAUUUCUAUUCUUGUUUACAUUAAAUUGCUCUUUUGGAUACUUGAAUUUACACAGUACACACAGUCUAAAUAGAGAAAUAUAUGUAAUCAUAAUCUGUGCAAGAAAAAUCAGUUUACGGACUUGAAAUUGAACAGAUCAGGCCUGAAAUUGGCGUAUUUCAAUAGAUUUUGAAGGCAAACAGGCAGAUUUUCACACACUAGACUUGAAUAUUGGUUUCCUUAAAUGCUACAUUGAGCAUAAGUCUUCAUAUUUGAGGUCCUGAAUUGUAUGUUUACUUAUUCUGUUGGAUUUCUUAUAUUUUCAGUACCCAAAACCCUGAAAUGAGAGUGCUUGAACAAUGUGAAGUUUGUCACAUAGAAGGGGAUUCACCGCCUUUGUGUAUAUAAGUCUACAACUUCUCAGAUUUGACCGAAGACAAUUGUUUGGUGUUGUGAAUAGAGAAAUAUAUGAGGUAGGGCAGUUUUCCAAAAACACAACAAGAAGUUCACAAUUGUUGCAGAGAUUUGUGUCUCACAUGUAUGGAGUUGAAGGAAUAGUUACAGGAAAAGGAGAAAUAUAUGAGGUAGGGCAGUUUUCCAUAAGCACAACAAGAAGUUCACAUUUGUUGCACAGAUUUGUGUCUCACAUGUAUGGAGUUGAAGGAAUUGUUAUAGAAAAAGGGUACAGAAUAUGAAAGGAUAUGGUAUGUUCCUGCUGAAAAAAAAAUUAGAAUAUGAACGCGAGGCUAGGAUUUGGUGACUGAAAUACAGGGGGCAGACGAAUCGGACUUAAGAAAAACUUAAUAAAAGUUGUUCUUCGCAGUCAUGAAAGCUCGAUUGUGAUGAAAGCUUCAAGCUUAUUUGAACCACUCUCGAGUCUGCUUCCUGGAGAAACCAGUACUGAUGUCAUAUGAGAAGUCAGGGUCGUGACCCCAGUGGGACUCGAACCCACAACCCCUGGAUUGAGCGACCGACACCUUAUCCACUAGACCACCGCUAGUUGAGUGUGCUGUCUCAAGUGACAGUUCUUGUUGAUUGUAACUUUGUAUGCAGGUCCUUAAAUUUAUUCAAAUCAUGCUUCUGAGGUUAGACAUUGACCUGGCCCUGGGGUCAGAAACACUUAAAAAUGUUCCUGUCUGAAGCUGCAAGAUCCAGAAAUUAGAUAUUUGGUAUUUAUCGUCUAGUGGUUCUCUCUACCUAGUUCUUUCAAUUCAUGACCCUGGAGAAGAAUUGGUCCUACCAGAGGGGUAAAUUGUUUUACAUAAGAACAACUAACAUAAGAAAAAUGUCCUGUGUAUAGGGUCAUAUCUCAGUAACAACUGCGUAUAGGGUCAUAUCUCAGUAACAACUGCGUAUAGGGUCAUAUCUCAGUAACAACUGCGUAUAGGGUCAUAUCUCAGUAACAACUGCGUAUAGGGUCAUAUCUCUCAGUAACAACUGCGUAUAGGGUCAUAUCUCAGUAACAACUGCGUAUAGGGUCAUAUCUCAGUAACAACUGCGUAUAAUGUCAUAUCUCUCAGUAACAACUGCGUAUAGGGUCAUAUCUCAGUAACAACUGCGUAUAGGGUCAUAUCUCAGUAACAACUGCGUAUAGGGUCAUAUAUCAGUAACAACUGCGUAUAGGGUCAUAUAUCAGUAACAACUGCGUAUAGGGUCAUAUCUCAGUAACAACUGCGUAUAGGGUCAUAUCUCUCAGUAACAACUGCGUAUAGGGUCAUAUAUCAGUAACAACUGUAUGUCUCUGAUUGAAAUUUCACACAAAGCUGCUUAGUCAUCAAGCCUAUACUGAAUUACCUAUGUCGGAUACUUGGUUAAACAAAUUAUGGCCCGUUUUCGACGUAGAAAUUUUGGUUAAAGUUUUGCGUAUACCUAACUAUCAAGCUCAUCUCAGUAACAGUUUUAUGUAAGGUAUUGAAGCUUCAUAUUAUGAUUCCCCAUCAUCAAACCUUGUGAAAUAACCAACUAACAUGAUAGUUGAAUUCAAUGUAAACUAAAGUACAUUUGUCAAUUCAGAAAGUAUCUUUGUAAGCAAAUAAUUGUCAGGCUGAUUCUCAGUAACAAGUAUAUAUACAGACCGGAAACAUCAUUCAAAGCAUUUGAGCCGCAACAUGAGAAAACCAACACAGUGGCUUUGCGACCAGCAUCGAUCAAGAUCAUGGAUCCAUCUAUGCUGUUCACUUUCAAAGCCAUUAGAGAAACCGUUAGCCAACAGCAUGGAUCCUGACCAGACUGCGCGGAUGCAAGGCCACUUUAUUGGUUUUCUCAUGGCGCGGCUCAUUUAUAAAG